AUGAACGCUAGCGACAGGCUUAACACAUGCAAGUCGAGGGGCAGCGGGGGUAGCGAUACCCGCCGGCGACCGGCGCACGGGUGAGUAACGCGUAUGCAACUUGCCUAUCAGAGGGGGAUAACCCGGCGAAAGUCGGACUAAUACCGCAUGAAGCAGGGGCCCCGCAUGGGGAUAUUUGCUAAAGAUUCAUCGCUGAUAGAUAGGCAUGCGUUCCAUUAGGCAGUUGGCGGGGUAACGGCCCACCAAACCGACGAUGGAUAGGGGUUCUGAGAGGAAGGUCCCCCACAUUGGUACUGAGACACGGACCAAACUCCUACGGGAGGCAGCAGUGAGGAAUAUUGGUCAAUGGGCGUAAGCCUGAACCAGCCAAGUCGCGUGAGGGAUGAAGGUUCUAUGGAUCGUAAACCUCUUUUAUAAGGGAAUAAAGUGCGGGACGUGUCCCGUUUUGUAUGUACCUUAUGAAUAAGGAUCGGCUAACUCCGUGCCAGCAGCCGCGGUAAUACGGAGGAUCCGAGCGUUAUCCGGAUUUAUUGGGUUUAAAGGGUGCGUAGGCGGCCUUUUAAGUCAGCGGUGAAAGUCUGUGGCUCAACCAUAGAAUUGCCGUUGAAACUGGGGGGCUUGAGUAUGUUUGAGGCAGGCGGAAUGCGUGGUGUAGCGGUGAAAUGCAUAGAUAUCACGCAGAACCCCGAUUGCGAAGGCAGCCUGCCAAGCCAUUACUGACGCUGAUGCACGAAAGCGUGGGGAUCAAACAGGAUUAGAUACCCUGGUAGUCCACGCAGUAAACGAUGAUCACUAGCUGUUUGCGAUACACUGUAAGCGGCACAGCGAAAGCGUUAAGUGAUCCACCUGGGGAGUACGCCGGCAACGGUGAAACUCAAAGGAAUUGACGGGGGCCCGCACAAGCGGAGGAACAUGUGGUUUAAUUCGAUGAUACGCGAGGAACCUUACCCGGGUUUGAACGCAUUCGGACCGAGGUGGAAACACCUUUUCUAGCAAUAGCCGUUUGCGAGGUGCUGCAUGGUUGUCGUCUGCUCGUGCCGUGAGGUGUCGGCUUAAGUGCCAUAACGAGCGCAACCCUUGCCACUAGUUACUAACAGGUAAAGCUGAGGACUCUGGUGGGACUGCCAGCGUAAGCUGCGAGGAAGGCGGGGAUGACGUCAAAUCAGCACGGCCCUUACAUCCGGGGCGACACACGUGUUACAAUGGCGUGGACAAAGGGAGGCCACCUGGCGACAGGGAGCGAAUCCCCAAACCACGUCUCAGUUCGGAUCGGAGUCUGCAACCCGACUCCGUGAAGCUGGAUUCGCUAGUAAUCGCGCAUCAGCCAUGGCGCGGUGAAUACGUUCCCGGGCCUUGUACACACCGCCCGUCAAGCCAUGGGAGCCGGGGGUACCUGAAGUCCGUAACCGCGAGGAUCGGCCUAGGGUAAAACUGGUGACUGGGGCU
rnacentral:rRNA from 1 species